rnacentral:rRNA from 1 species
GACAGAGGAUGCAAGCGUUAUCCGGAAGCACUGGGCGUAAAGCGUCUGUAGGUGGUCAAAUAAGUCAACUGUUAAAUCUUGAGGCUCAACCUCAAAAUCGCAGUCGAAACUAUUAGACUAGAGUAUAGUAGGGGUAAAGGGAAUUUCCAGUGGAGCGGUGAAAUGACGUAGAGAUUGGAAAGAACACCGAUGGCGAAGGCACUUUACUGGGCUAUUACUAACACUCAGAGACGAAAGCUAGGGUAGCAAAUGGG